GGUCAAGGUUGUGUUGACAGAUAUUACCUGAAUUUAUUGCUGAUGUAUAAUAACACUUCAGCUCUCAAAUUAUGCUUGGAACUU
ensembl:snoRNA